GACGAACGCUGGCGGCGUGCUUAACACAUGCAAGUCGAACGGAAAGGCCCUGCUUUUGUGGGGUGCUCGAGUGGCGAACGGGUGAGUAACACGUGAGUAACCUGCCCUUGACUUUGUGAUAACUUCAGGAAACUGGGGCUAAUACCGGAUAGGAUCUCCUGCUGCAUGGUGUGGGUUGGAAAGUUUCGGCUGUUGGGGAUGGACUCGCGGCUUAUCAGCUUGUUGGUGGGGUAGUGGCUUACCAAGGCUUUGACGGGUAGCCGGCCUGAGAGGGUGACCGGCCACAUUGGGACUGAGGUACGGCCGCGACUCGUACGGGAGGCAGCAGUGGGGAAUAUUGCACAAUGGGCGGAAGCCUGAUGCAGCAACGCCGCGUGCGGGAUGACGGCCUUCGGGUUGUAAACCGCUUUCGCCUGUGACGAAGCGUGAGUGACGGUAAUGGGUAAAGAAGCACCGGCUAACUACGUG
rnacentral:rRNA from 1 species